rnacentral:rRNA from 1 species
UCCAACCUUCCCGAUACUCUUGGAUUAGCCUUCCGAAAGGGAGAUUAAUACAAGAUGGUGUUUCAAUUCCGCAUGUUAUUGAAACUAAAAAUUUAUCGGUAUCGGAUGGGGAUGCGUGACAUUAGGUAGUAGGUGAGGUAACGGCUCACCUAGCCUACGAUGUCUAGGGGUUCUGAGAGGAAGGUCCCCCACACUGGAACUGAGACACGGUCCAGACUCCUACGGGAGGCAGCAGUGAGGAAUAUUGGUCAAUGGUCGAGAGACUGAACCAGCCAUGCCGCGUGAAGGUCACGGCCCUAUGGGUCUUAAACUUCUUUUGCAAGGGAGCAAUAAGUCUCACGUGUGGGAUGAUGAGAGUACCUUGCGAAUAAGCAUCGGCUAACUCCGUG